rnacentral:lncRNA from 1 species
AUGGCGGACACCCGGGAAGAAUCGGAACCCCUUCUGAGCCGGGCCCGCGGCGGCAGCGGCCGCGACUGCCCAAGGGGCGUACCCGCUUGCAGCAGCGUCCAAGAGAGCCCUGGUGCCGCAGCCAGGCGGGAUCUGUGCUUGGACCAGGCUGUGGUCCUCAUCGAAGACGCCAUCCAGUAUCGCUCCAUCAACCACCGCAUGGACGCCCGGUCUCUGUGGCUCUACAGGCGGUACUACUCCGGCAGCAGCCAGUGGAUUCUGAGCUUCACCAUUUUCUUGAUCCUGGCUUUGGCCUUCGUUGAGACCCCUUCCUCGCUCACGCGCACCUCGGACGUGCGCUACCGCCUGGCCCCCUGGGAGCCGCCCUGUGGCCUGACCGAGGGCGUCGAGGCGCUCUGCCUGCUGGUCUUCGCGGCCGACGUCUCUGUGAAGAGCUACCUGAUUGGGUGGGCCCAGUUCCGGAGGAACCCCUGGCUGCUGGCCUACCUCGUGGUGCUGGUUGUGUCUCUCCUGGACUGGAUCGUGUCGCUGAGUCUCGUCUGCCAGGAGCCCCUGCGAGUGCGCCGGCUGCUGCGCCCCUUCUUCCUGAUGCAGAAUUCCUCCAUGAUGAAGAAGACGCUCAAGUGCAUCAGGCGCUCGCUGCCGGAGAUGGCCAGCGUCGGGCUGCUGCUGGCCGUGCACCUGUGUCUCUUCACCGUGUUUGGGAUGCUGCUCUUCACCGGCGAGAAGCAGGACGCCGGGCAGGACCGGGAGCGGCUGACCUACUUCUUCAACCUGCCUGAGGCGCUGACCACCCUCCUGGUGCUGCUGACCACCGCCAACAAUCCCGACGUGAUGAUCCCUGUGUAUUCCAGGAACCGAGCCUACGCCAUCUUCUUCAUAGCCUUCACCCUGAUUGGGAGCUUGUUUUUGAUGAACCUGAUGACGGCCAUCAUCUACAACCAGUUCCGGGGCUACCUGAUGAUGUCUCUCCAGACCUCACUGUUGCGGAGACGCCUGGGGACCCGGGCUGCCUACAAGGUCCUCUCGUCCGUGACAGCAGAGGGAGAAACCCACCCCGAGCGACUUGGGGUGAAGCCUGAGGAUUUCUUGCAAGUGCUCCAGAAAGUCCAGCUGGACAGUGACCACAAACAGGCCAUCACAGAGAAGCUGCAUUCCCGUGGCGGCGGCCUGCUAUCAACUGACGAGUUUCAGAAACUCUUUGACGAGUUUGAAAAGAGGGUGGUUAAAGAGCACCCGCCGCGGCCCGAGUACCGGUCUCCGUUUCUGCGGACCACCCAGUUCCUCUUCGGCCACCACUACUUUGACUACCUGGGCAACCUCAUGGCCCUCGGAAACCUCGUGACCAUCUGCGUGUUCCUGGUAUUGGACGCACACGUGCUGCCCAAGGACCGUGACGACUUCGUGCUAGGGAUUCUCAACUGCAUCUUCAUCCUGUACUACCUGCUGGAGAUGCUGCUCAAGGCGUUCUCUCUGGGCCUGCAGGGCUACCUGUCCUACUCCAGCAACGUGUUUGACGGGCUCCUCACCAUCGUCCUGCUGAACUUCCUUCACAAGUGGGACCGCCGCAGCCACCUGCAGUCGCUCACGGAGGAGCUGGAGGACACCUCUGAGAUGACCGAGGAGCUCCCGUUCAGGGACGUCCUGGAGGAGCCCACGGAGGAGGAGCUGGUGGAGAAGCUGAGCCGCCACCCGCACCUGCAGCUGUGCAGGUGA